CGCCGCGGACGACCCUGGCGCAGAACAGCAGAAGCAGGACGACCUGC
rnacentral:ncRNA from 1 species